rnacentral:misc_RNA from 1 species
GAUGAAGAACGUAGCGAAAUGCGAUAAGUAGUGUGAAUUGCAGAAUUCAGUGAAUCAUCGAAUCUUUGAACGCACAUUGCGCCCCUUGGUAUUCCAUGGGGCAUGCCUGUUCGAGCGUCAUUUGUACCUUCAAGCCUUGCUUGGUGUUGGGUGUUUGUCUCGCCUCUGCGCGCAGACUCGCCCCAAAACAAUUGGCAGCCGGCGUAUUGAUUUCGGAGCGCAGUACAUCUCGCGCUUUGCACUCAGAACGACGACGUCCAAAAGUACAUUUUUACACUCUUGACCUCGGAUCAGGUAGGGAUACCCGCUGAACUUAAGCAUAUCAAUAAGCGGAGGA